AGAGGAACCAGCAAACAAGACUGAAACAGAGCAACCCAAAAUACAGGAAGAAAACCAGAUGAGCUUGUGUCUUCAAAGCCAACUGAAGGAAGUUAUUAAGUUCAUCUUCUCCCAUGUGCCCCACUUUGAAGAGAGGAAGUAGAGGCUCCAUGCAGCAGAAUUUUGGACCCCAGUCCUAGAAAACACACCUGAAGAUGUUUCGCAUUUUACAUUUGAAAGAACCUUGCCAGCACCCAAUCCUAAGGAUUCACAGACACCCCCCUCCCAAGUUGCUCAUCCGUGGUUCUACUAAGGAGUUUCAAGUCUGGCUGUAGACUAAACCCAACAGCAAGAAGCCCACAAAGAAAAGGAAGUGACUCCUUCUUGUGAAAACCAUAGCAACUCUGAAGGCGAACACGCACUG